UACGUAGGGGCCGAGCGUUGUCCGGAGUUAUUGGGCGUAAAGCGCGCGCAGGCGGCCUCGCGCGCCCGACGUGAAAGCCCCCGGCUUAACUGGGGAGGGUCGUUGGGGACGGCGGGGCUUGAGGGCGGGAGAGGUCGGUGGAAUUCCCGGUGUAGUGGUGAAAUGCGUAGAGAUCGGGAGGAACACCUGUGGCGAAGGCGGCCGACUGGGCCGACCCUGACGCUGAGGCGCGAAGGCGUGGGGAGCGAACGGG
rnacentral:rRNA from 1 species